GUGCUCGCUUCAGCAGCACAUAUAUUAAAAUUGGAAUGAUACAGAGAAGAUUAGCAUGGCCCUUGCGCAAGGAUGACACACAAAUCCGUGAAGCAUUCCAUAUGUUU
rnacentral:snRNA from 1 species